GAUGAACGCUAGCUACAGGCUUAACACAUGCAAGUCGAGGGGCAGCAUGGUCUUAGCUUGCUAAGGCCGAUGGCGACCGGCGCACGGGUGAGUAACACGUAUCCAACCUGCCGUCUACUCUUGGACAGCCUUCUGAAAGGAAGAUUAAUACAAGAUGGCAUCAUGAGUCCGCAUGUUCACAUGAUUAAAGGUAUUCCGGUAGACGAUGGGGAUGCGUUCCAUUAGAUAGUAGGCGGGGUAACGGCCCACCUAGUCUUCGAUGGAUAGGGGUUCUGAGAGGAAGGUCCCCCACAUUGGAACUGAGACACGGUCCAAACUCCUACGGGAGGCAGCAGUGAGGAAUAUUGGUCAAUGGGCGAGAGCCUGAACCAGCCAAGUAGCGUGAAGGAUGACUGCCCUAUGGGUUGUAAACUUCUUUUAUAAAGGAAUAAAGUCGGGUAUGGAUACCCGUUUGCAUGUACUUUAUGAAUAAGGAUCGGCUAACUCCGUGCCAGCAGCCGCGGUAAUACGGAGGAUCCGAGCGUUAUCCGGAUUUAUUGGGUUUAAAGGGAGCGUAGAUGGAUGUUUAAGUCAGUUGUGAAAGUUUGCGGCUCAACCGUAAAAUUGCAGUUGAUACUGGAUAUCUUGAGUGCAGUUGAGGCAGGCGGAAUUCGUGGUGUAGCGGUGAAAUGCUUAGAUAUCACGAAGAACUCCGAUUGCGAAGGCAGCCUGCUAAGCUGCAACUGACAUUGAGGCUCGAAAGUGUGGGUAUCAAACAGGAUUAGAUACCCUGGUAGUCCACACGGUAAACGAUGAAUACUCGCUGUUUGCGAUAUACUGCAAGCGGCCAAGCGAAAGCGUUAAGUAUUCCACCUGGGGAGUACGCCGGCAACGGUGAAACUCAAAGGAAUUGACGGGGGCCCGCACAAGCGGAGGAACAUGUGGUUUAAUUCGAUGAUACGCGAGGAACCUUACCCGGGCUUAAAUUGCAGAUGAAUUACGGUGAAAGCCGUAAGCCGCAAGGCAUCUGUGAAGGUGCUGCAUGGUUGUCGUCAGCUCGUGCCGUGAGGUGUCGGCUUAAGUGCCAUAACGAGCGCAACCCUUGUUGUCAGUUACUAACAGGUUCCGCUGAGGACUCUGACAAGACUGCCAUCGUAAGAUGUGAGGAAGGUGGGGAUGACGUCAAAUCAGCACGGCCCUUACGUCCGGGGCUACACACGUGUUACAAUGGGGGGGUACAGAGGGCCGCUACCACGCGAGUGGAUGCCAAUCCCCAAAACCUCUCUCAGUUCGGACUGGAGUCUGCAACCCGACUCCACGAAGCUGGAUUCGCUAGUAAUCGCGCAUCAGCCACGGCGCGGUGAAUACGUUCCCGGGCCUUGUACACACCGCCCGUCAAGCCAUGGGAGCCGGGGGUACCUGAAGUGCGUAACCGCGAGGAGCGCCCUAGGGUAAAACUGGUGACUGGGGCUAAGUCGU
rnacentral:rRNA from 1 species